UUACUCCUGCUUGGGCUUGCAUAUAGGAUCCUGACGGAGGCUCAGCUAAACUGCAUAUUGAAAUUGCUCCAAAUCCACUGAAAUGAGCUGCGACAAAAACGCAAACCGUAAGUAAAGAUAAGGUUAUGAUACUAGAUAAUGAAACAUUGUUGUCUUUUGAAUUAAACCACACAGAGUAUGCAAAGAGAACUAUACUUGACACCUACUGAACAAUGUAUGAAGUCGAGUGAAUAUUGUAUGGAGCCAGCAUUUAACCGCCGGGCACGUAGGCUCUACAUGCUGUGAGUUGCUUGUUAAACUCAAUUCAUUCUGUAGUAGUAUGUAGAGUUCCUAAAUGAACACAAGUUAUAGGUGGAGUAACUAUAGAACAACAUCGAACAAUACGAAUCGAUACCACUACAACCAGUUUUUUGAAAAGCUUUCGUCGAAUCUACUAUUCAUAAUAGAGAGGUUAAGAUACACCGGUUUCGGUGUACGUGUACGGGUAGAAUGAUUUUGGUUAGCAAUAUUUUCGUCGAUGUCUGUACCUUUACUCGUAAUUAAGGUGCACAUUUUUCGCAUUAUAUCAUUGUCUAUUGGAAGAAAACUGAAAAAGUAUGAUCGAAUUACAAACAUCAGUAAAACAAGAUGACACUACUCGUACCCGUACACCGAAACCGGGGUAUCUUAACCUCUCUAAUAUGGAUUUGGUUCCAUACCUAAGAUCGUAUCUUCAGUUUUAGCGCAUUUUUAAGAUCGGACUCACCAUUCACUGAUCAUUGUACAGAUUUAUUUAUAUAACCUUGAGGAUCAUGUUGCUGCGUUACUCCGUGUCAUGACAGCAAUAAAAUAGACAAAUUUAGAAAACCAAAACAUGGAAGUGAAUGUUUAUUUUAAGUUUAAAAUGUUAUUCACAUUUAUUCGAGCAUUUAUUAGCUUUGCCAUUUUAAAAUAAUUUGAACUUCAACUUUAUUUGCACGAUUACCAAUUUUACGAAAAUUAAAAGCCAGAUAUAUGAUCUGAGUACUGUAUGCAGAUCAUGCAUGCCUGAACAGAACUCCUAUGCUAUAGGAGUUCUGUUCAGACAUGUACAAGAUCUGCAUAUACUCGGAUCAUAUAUCUGGCUCUUAAUUUUCGGAAAAUUGGUAAUCGUGCAAAUAAAAGUUGAAGUUAUCAUUUCAAAUUAUUUUAAAAUGGCAAAGUGCCAAAGCUAAUAAAUGCUCGAAUAAAUGUCAAUAACAUCUUUAACUUAAAAUAAACAUUAAGGUGUGAGUGUAUGAUCUUGGGCAUGUCUGAACAGAACUCCUAGAAGAAAAGAUUAAUCUUUCCACCAGGUAAAACACAAACCAGGAUAUAGUUUAUUGUUCUCCAUGCAAAACUGGACCAGGUUUGCAAAACUGGACCGUGGUGGACCAGGUUUGCAUGGUAGAACAAUAAACUAUACCCUGCCCUGGUUCGUGUUUUACCUGGUGGAAAGAUUAAUCUUUUCUUCUAGGAGUUCUGUUCAGACACGCACAAGAGAGAUCGAUCUCAAACGUGCAUGGUUGUCUAGUUUUGCAUGGUCGUAUAUUCUACAAUAAACUAUAGCCUGCCCUGGUUUGUGUUUUACCUGGUGGAAAGAUUAAUCUUUUCAUAUAGGAGUUCUGUUCAGACACGCACAAGAUCAGUUAGAUCAUAUACACCGGAUCAUAUAUCUGGUUCUUAAUUUUCGCUCAAAAGAUAGAGCAGGUAAAUUGAUACAAUUGGCUUCUUAAAAGCUCCGAGCAGUUAUAUCUCUAUCUAUGAUAAAAUUCUGCAUGAUGAAAUCCACGAAGAGACCAUUUUCAUUUUUUAGAUUGUUGCAAUGGCCCGGGCUAUGCUACGCCUUUAGAUGCGAUGAAAGGCCCCCGGGAGAAGAUUGUGUAUUUGCCAUGUAUUUAUGGUAAUACUGGGAUUAAAAAACCUGACUAUCUUGCUACAGUUGAUGUGGACCCGGAGUCGUCAGAUUACGGCAAGGUAAGAGGUCAUUCGGCAAGGGUGAUUUUUGUCUCCUCAGAAAUUGAGCUAUGAUACAAAUAGAACUAUAGAAGAAUUGUGAGUUGGUUUCCUCUGGCCAGAAAAUAUUUGCAGUGCAUUCUUUCUUUCUAUUCCUAUACCCAAUUUUAAGGUUAAUCACUAUAUAGUGCAUGUUCGCAGUCAUUACAUUUUCUAUACGUGUUUUAUAGCAUGCACGUGCAGGUGCGAUGUAAAUUUUGUUUCUUACUGAAAUAUCUCUAAUAUUCGUGGUUACUUAUAUGAUUCUUUAUAGCAGAUAAAUUACAAUGACAGGGUUCGUAGUCUCCAAGACCAAAAAAAUUUAAAGACUUCCAAAGAUUUUUUCUGCCUAUUUUCAAAGACUUUUCAAAGACCUUUGAAAACAAUCAGCUGUCGAAAAAUUGCGAGUGUAAGCACCAUUUUUACCCGGUAAUUAGUCCCGUCAAAUCACGUCCUAAAAUGCGCCUUUUCGUCGAUAUUUGCGAAAAUCUUGCUUCAAUCAAUCUGUUUUAUUAGCUAGGAAAUCGUAUAAUCAAUUCCUCACUAAAGAAUUUAAAGACUUUCUUCGCUUCUUCACACAAUUCAAAGACCUUUCAAAUACCUUAAAGACCUGCAUUCAAAUUUAAAGACUUUCAAGGACUUCAAGGAUUUCAAAACCCGCUACGAACCCUGAAUGAUAUUGGUUUUAAUAUGUUCCUCCGCAACACCUAAACAAAAUUGUAUGUGAUAACGAUCAUUUUGUGUCUUGCAUAAAUUGCGAUGGAUUGGAUCUUGGCCGCUGAAGAAACAAUCAUCAUAGAACAUGCACGGCUUGCUCAACUUACUUUUAUUCUGCGUUUGAAAUUUCUAUAACAAAUUUUUCACUCAGCUAUACGAUUUUGGAUCAAUCAAUAUUCUCAAAUAUUCCCAGGUAAUCCACCGUCUCCCAGCGCUUCACUUGGAAGAUGAACUGCAUCACAGUGGCUGGAAUGCGUGCAGUAGGUCAGUGAUUAUUUUACCGAAUUUUACCAAACAUCAAACCUGUACAAAAAGUGACGUUUGCUUUUGUGUAGUUGCCAUGGUGAUUCAAGCAGAACACGCGACUCUCUCGUGAUGCCCUCACUGUUGUCUAGUCGUGUUUAUAUUUUUGACGUCGCUACAGAUCCCAGGGCGCCCAAGAUUCGCAAGGU
rnacentral:lncRNA from 1 species